CCCGUGCACCUUUACUACAACUUUUCAUUACGUAGAAAAAAGUGUUAUAUAGAAUAGAUGGGAGUUUAAAAGUAUUAUGCGCUAGCUUAAAACUUUUCACAUAUUUUGCGUAAAACUUAAAUGUAAUACCAUCUAACACUUUUUUCGAAGUUUACUAUAUUUUUAGGACAGUGAAUGGAUGGUAGUUUGACUGGGGCGGUCGCC
rnacentral:rRNA from 15 species